rnacentral:rRNA from 1 species
AUUGAACGCUGGCGGCAGGCCUAACACAUGCAAGUCGAGCGAGCGGCGGACGGGUGAGUAAUGUCUGGGAAACUGCCUGAUGGAGGGGGAUAACUACUGGAAACGGUAGCUAAUACCGCAUACCAUCAGAUGUGCCCAGAUGGGAUUGGCUAGUAGGUGGGGUACGGCUCACCUAGGCGACGAUCCCUACCUGGUCUGAGAGGAUGACCAGCCACACUGCAACUGGGGUGCGGUCCAGAAUACUAAGGGAGGCAGCAGUGGGGAAUAUUGCAAAAUGGGCGCAGGACUGAUGCAGCAAUGCCGCGUGUGUGAAGAAGGCCUUCGGGUUGUAAAGCACUUUCAGCGGGGAGGCGUUACCCGCAGAAGAAGCACCGGCUAGCACCGUGCCAGCAGCCGCGGUAAUAC